rnacentral:rRNA from 1 species
AUUGAACGCUGGCGGCAUGCUUUACACAUGCAAGUCGAACGGUAACAGGCCGCAAGGUGCUGACGGGUGGCGAACGGGUGCGUAAUGCAUCGGAACGUGCCCAGUCGUGGGGGAUAACUACUCGAAAGAGUAGCUAAUACCGCAUACGAUCUAUGGAUGAAAGCGGGGGACCGUAAGGCCUCGCGCGAUUGGAGCGGCCGAUGUCAGAUUAGGUAGUUGGUGGGGUAAAGGCUCACCAAGCCAACGAUCUGUAGCUGGUCUGAGAGGACGACCAGCCACACUGGGACUGAGACACGGCCCAGACUCCUACGGGAGGCAGCAGUGGGGAAUUUUGGACAAUGGGCGCAAGCCUGAUCCAGCAAUGCCGCGUGCAGGAAGAAGGCCUUCGGGUUGUAAACUGCUUUUGUACGGAACGAAACGGCUCUGGUUAAUACCCGGGGCUAAUGACGGUACCGUAAGAAUAAGCACCGGCUAACUACGUG